AAUAUUGGACAAUGGGCGCAAGCCUGAUCCAGCAAUACCGCGUGUGUGAAGAAGGCCUUAGGGUUGUAAAGCACUUUCAAUUGGGAGGAAAACCUGCCGGCUCAAUACCCGGUAGCUUGACAUUACCUAUUAGAAGAAGCACCGCGCUAAAUCCGCU
rnacentral:rRNA from 1 species